rnacentral:rRNA from 1 species
AACGAACGCUGGCGGCGCGCUUAACACAUGCAAGUCGAACGAGAAGCUGUAGCAAUACAGUUGUACAGUGGCGAACGGGUGAGGAAUACAUGGGUAACCUACCCUCGAGUGGGGAAUAACCAGCCGAAAGGCUGGCUAAUACCGCGUACGCUUCCCAGUCUGCGGGUUGGGAAGGAAAGCUCUACCGUGGGUAGAGCGCUCAAGGACGGGCUCAUGUCCUAUCAGCUUGUUGGAGGGUAACGGCCUACCAAGGCAACGACGGGUAGCUGGUCUGAGAGGACGAUCAGCCACACUGGCACUGCGACACGGGCCAGACUCCUACGGGAGGCAGCAGUGAGGAAUAUUGCGCAAUGGGCGACAGCCUGACGCAGCGACGCC